AGAUUUAAGUCUUCCCAGGCCCACCACUUUCAUCGAUGAGCUUCGUCUUCUGGUUACGGGGCCAUAGCUCAGCUGGGAGAGCGCGUGCUUUGCAAGCAUGAGGUCGUCGGUUCGAUCCCGUCUGGCUCCACCANAUGGUUUGAUCACCAACGGCGUAACCGUCGUCCGCGAAACAUCACUUCGCACUCAUUGGUCCGGAUGGACGGUGACGUGCGUGUUUUCUGACAUCGUAAAGAGGAGAUCGAUCCGAGUUUGGAUCAAGCGAAGCAAUUCGCCUGAACCAUUCACUAUCUCCGGGAUCAUUUCGGCGCUCGCUUCAUCGUGAGAUUGAAUGCGGGUUGUAAAUGAUCUCUGUUAGCGAAGCUUGACCGCCUCGCUAUCGGGCCGAUCUUACGAAGCAAGCUGGUCUUUCUAGUCAAUGUCCGGCUGCGCAAUCGCAUUCAUCGANGAUGCGCGCCUGAGACUUCGGUCUUUGGGCAGUUGUGCAGACAACAUUCUGCCGAGUGUGNGGACAUUGAUAAUGAUAGCAAUCAAGUGCCUUAAGGGUGUUCGGUGGAUGCCUU
rnacentral:tRNA from 1 species